GAGCGCCCCCUGCCAGCCCAUCACAGAGGCAGGGGACCCACUGACUUCUCUCCGGGCUGCUACUCGUCUGGCUUCUCCUCUGAGAGGCGUAGGGAGCAGCCACGGGGCAGCGUCCCGAGUGUUCUGUCCAGGUCUCCAUGUAAGUGCAGGAGCCCAAGGACUUGGGCCAUCCUCCACUGUUUUCCCAGGCUCAUUAGCAAGGAACUGUAUUGGAAGUGGAGCAGCCAGGACUUGAACCGGUACCCAUAUGGGAUGCUGAUGCUGCAUGCUGGGACUUUAACCCACUAUGCCACAGUGCUGGCCCCUCUACUUCCUUCUUACAAACUCUCUCCCAGGAGCCCUGGGGUCAGUAGCCAGCUCCCUUCCUGAGGGUGCCCCAGGCUGCUUCUUGGACCUACUUCCUGGGCACACAAGCAAACUGAAAGUUCUUACCCCAUGGCUGAAGAAGCAGGAGUGGGAGGAGACGAUCAGAGUGAGGAUGACCCCUGCCCCGACCUAACUUCAGGUUUAUGGUAAAGGCUACAGAGUCACAGCCAGAUGAAGAGGUGCACUAGGCAAGAUCUGUGGGAAGUGGUGCCCGUCCACACACUGUGCAGGUGCACCCCAGCCCCGCUCCAAUAUCUGCAUCUUAACAUGGCCUUAAGGGGAAGACGAGACAUCCAGGGAGGAAUGGAGCAUUCCCUUUGCGGAUGACGAAAGGAGAAAACACCAUGAUAAAUGGCUACUACUUCAUUGCAAUGCCCACAGAAAAGAAAGCCUGCUCUGAUGAAAGACCUUUGUUUUAUGAUCUACAGUUAGCCUUAAAAAAAAAAAAGAUUUAUUUAUUUAUUUGAAAGGCAGUUACAGAGAGGCAGAAGCAGAGAGAGAGAGAGGUCUUCCAUCCGCUGGUUCACUCCCCAGAUGACCACCAUGGCUGGAGAUGUGCCGAUCCGAAGUCAGGAGCUUCUUCUGGGUCUCCCACGUGGUUGCAGGAGCCCAAGGACUUGGGCCAUCUUCUACUGCUUUCCCAGGCCACAGCAGAGAGCUGGAUCAGAAAUGGAGCAGCCGGGACUAGAGCUGGCGCCCAUAUGGGAUGCUGGCACCACAGGCGUUGGCUUUAUCUGCUAUGCCAUAGCACUGGCCCCUACAGCUAGCCUUUUUAUGAAGCCAGCAUUUAGAACCUCAGCAAGCCAUUGCAGGCUGCAAGGUUUCCAGGUAAUCGGUUCAUGACCUGAUGGUUUCCAUGGAACGAGCAACCCUGAACUACAGAAGCGGAAACGCUGCCCUCAUCUGGGAGACUGAUGCCAGGGAGGAAGCAGGCGCUAACUCGCAGACACCUUCGUUCAGAGGAAGAGCCUGGAAACCACUGCAAAAAACUUGCAAACCCACCCACCUCGCGCUAUUUAUCUGGGACCAAAACGGCUUUGAGAGAGUGUGUCAGAAGGGGAGUACUAACAAUGCUACAUCAGAACCUCCCAGAACUGGGCGAAUAAUUCCUUGCUUGAACCACACUAGCCACGACAUCCACACACACACACACACACCCCAGGGUACAUUUUAUUUAUUUAUUUAUUUAAACUUUAUUUAUUUGAGAGACAGAGAUGGAGGCAGAGAGAGAGAGAGAGAGAGAGAGAGAGAGAGAGAAUAUGAAUCUCCCGUCUGCUGGUUCACUCCCCAAAUGGCCACAAUGAUUGGGGCUGAUCAGGCUGAAGCAUGGAGCUGAGAACUCCGGCCAGGGCUCCCACACAGAUGGUAGGAACCCAAUUACUUGAGCCAACACCUUGUUGCCUCCCAAGAUCUGUAGUAGCAGGAAGCUGGACAGAGGCCAGAGCCAGAGGCAAACAAGAUGGGACGCAGCAUCUUAGCCGCCAGCACACUCUGAGGUCACCUCCUCCUGCGCUCUACCACAGGAUCCUACAGAUGGAGGAUCGGCUAAGGAUUCGGCCACCACUGAGCCAUCAUUCCAGAGGUCCUGCUUCCCUCUUCUGCUCUGUGAAGGGCGUAUCUGGGCUGCAGGGAGAGGACAAACCUCUUCUUGGAUAUCUGAAGACCAAAUUCCAAGGACUUCAAAAAACAGUGGCCUUGAUGCCACCCCUUCCGGAGACACCUGGGAAACAUUAAGGCUGACCUAGCUCUUCUGUUCCUGGGGGAAUUCCUGACCUUGUGCUUCCGACCCUGCAGCUCAUCUCAAGGGGGCGAGUUUCCCCCGGGGUUUCUUGGCUGAGCCUUUCACAUGUCCUCUCAAGGCCCCUCCUCACUUCUCAUGCCUGUAACAACCCACAUCCCGGACCAGGCAGUAGGAACCAUUUUCAAGGGGCAGAUGGGAGACUUCUUUGGAGGUUUUAUUUUGGAAACUUGAGCCUUAGAGGCUGAGAACGUUGUCUCUGCCGGGGGUUCUGCUGUGGGAAGCGAGGCCAAGCCCCCACUCAGUGGUUCACCCACCAGUAACAAGUUGGUAGCAGGUGGAGUUUCCUUUUUGAUAAUUUUUCUCAACCUAUAAAUUUGGUGCUUCUACUACCUUCUAAACAUAAUUUCUUCUGAUCAUUUGUACUGUUAUCAUUUAUAUGUCUUUUUUUUAAAAUUUAUUUGAAAGUCAGAGUUACAUAGAGAAGGAGAGACAGAGAGAGAGAGAGCUUCCAUCUGCUGGUUCACUCCUCAGUUGGCCGCAACAGCCAGAACUGCACAGAUCCAAAGCCAGGAGCCAGGAGCCUCCUCCAAGUCUCUCACGUAGAUGCAGGGACCCAAGGACUUGGGCCAUCUUCUACUGCUUUCCCAGGCCAUAGCAGAGAGCUAGAUUGGAAGUGGAGCAGCCAGGACUUGAAGUGGUGCCCAUAUGGAUUGCUGGCACUGCAGGCAGCGGCUUCACCCGCUAUGCCACAGCACUGGCCCCAAAAUAUAGUCUUUCAGUUUUAAGUACUGAUGAAAACAUGCUGCAAGUGGGAGUGUGAAUUAAACUUAAUAUUCCAAGAAAACUGUGUAAAAACAUGUAAAAGAAAAUUCAGUAGUUUAUCAAAAUAGUGCUUAGGGCUGGGGUUGUAGCAUAGUGGGUCGAUUCACGGAUUGCAACGCUGACAUCUCAUUCACGCUGGUUCAUGUCCCAGCAGCUCCUCUUCUAACCCAGCUCCCUGCUAAUGUGCCCAUGAAAAGCAGUGAGAGAUGGUCUAAGUGCACCGAUCCGAAGCCAGGAGCUUCUUCCGGGUCUCCCACGUGGGUGCAGGGGCCUAAGGACUUGGGCCAUCUUCUACUGCUUUCCCAGGGCAUCGCAGAGAGCUGGAUCGGAAGUGGAGCUGCCGGGAUUAGAACCAGUGCCCAUAUGGGAUGCCGGCACUUCAGGUCAGGGCACUACCCCGCUGUGCCACAGCACCGGCCCCUACAAUACCAAUUUUCAUCAAGUUCCACUGAACCAUGAACAGAAUUAUUUGAGUAGUGAAAUGAUAAAGACAAUAAAAAUAUUUUCAGAAUUUUCCUGAAUUCUGUAAGGGAAAAACUGGAGAAUGGGAGAGAAGCAAUUGUGAGUUUCAUACAUAUUACUAAUGAUGCUAUAUUUCUUAAUGUGGAUUAUGGCUUCAAAGGGAUUAAUUUUACUAUUAUGUCCCCUCAUAAAUUGCAUAGUUUUCUGUGAGUAAUGUAAUUUUUAAAAAAAUACUAUCAGGACUAAAGCAAGUAAGAUAUUGGGAGAACAUAUACCUGUUAGAGGUGUGGUUACCUUUACAAGGUGGAUUUAUGGGAGACUUCACUUUUUACACUAUGUUUCUGAAUUUUUAAAGUUAUUGUAGUUUUACUUAUUUUUGUUUUUAAAUGGUAACAUUCACGUGAUUCAAAAAUAGAGCUGUCUCUCACACUACCUCUGCCAUCCUGCCCACCCCAUAGGAAACCAUGAUUAUUAAUUCGGUUCAUGUGUUAUUUCUGAAACUGGGAAGAGGAAAGGAUCCUCCUCCCCAUGCUUGCCAGCAAGAUGCCUGUGGGUGCCUCACAUACUAACAGCCCGUAACAGUUCUUUGCCUACCUGUUGCACCUGUUGCAUAGUAACUUGCAACAGCUGCUGCUUUUGAAAAAAAAAAAAAAAUGCUGAGCUCUCUUUCCAGCACCCCUGAUAAAACUCGACCUAGCUGGCUGCAGCCAACCUUGUCACGGAGCCUGCACAGAUGGACUCCGUGUAAGCAGUUACCUUAUGGGUCGUUGUAAAGCACACUGGCGCACCUGCGAUGACACAUCACACAGUGUUCAAAGAUGACACGACUGGGCAUGGCACACGCUCAGAGGACUACCCCAGGCUUUGCCUCUGCACCUAGCGUCUUCUGUCUCUUUGCUUUGCCAAAACUCCAUAGAUACCCAACCCCUUUCUGUUCAGGGAGAUGGAUUUGGGCUUCAGUAUGACUUGUCCCUUUUUCUACAAGCCUGUAGUUAAUCAUGAAUGUUCUUUCUCAGAUGGUGAGUCCAGUGUUUCCACAGCAGUCACAGUGUGCACGAGCUGGGGAACUUGCCCAAUCACAUUUCCAGAAAGAAUGUGGGCACAAGAGAACAAACCCUCUCGCUUCUCCUACCCCACACAAAAGGCACACCUUACAACACUGUUCGCACCAUGGCUUUUCAUCUUAGCAAGAAAUCCUGAGUUCUUUCCAUAGAAAUACAUAGGGAACCUCCUUGUUCUUCAUUGCUUUAUAAUGCUACGUCAUGCAUACAUACCACCAUUUUAAAAAAAGAGCAGUCCUCUGAUGGAUACCUGGGUAGUUUCCCAUAUUUUGCUGUUACAAACAAUAAUCUCUUACCACCUCAUUUCACAUGCAAGCAAGUGUAUCUGUAGGAAAAAUUCCCAAAAGCAGGUUGUUCACUCAAAGUGUAGAAGAACUCUGUACAGUGAUCUGCCCUCCAGGAGACCCAACAGGCCAGGCCACUGCAUUGGUUUUCAAUGUGGAAAGCCCAGGUUUCAGCGGAAGUCAGCUUAUGAAGAGCCCUGGCAGCUGCACCAGUUAAGAGUUGGAUCACUGGAAACUGAAUGGCCCUGGCGUCGGAGGACACCCAGGUCAGAGCGGCAGAUCUUGCUGGCUCUAAGCUGAAAAGCCCUUCAUUCAGCCCAGCUUCCAAAGUGACCACCACUGCUGAGGGGGUGGCCAAGUAGGGUGAGUAACACUGCAGGCAGAGCUGUAGAUUUCCCGUUAGAGUUGCCACCUGCCUUCACCUGGCCAGCUCUCCUCCCAGGCCAGUCAACAGGUGCCUUCCCCAAGGAGGUUCACACCCCCCUUAAGAUGUACCCCAUGUGAAGAGAUAGAUAGGUCUGGGCCCCCUAACAGACAAGUCCUUAAAGCCCACCUGAUUGUUAUCAGCCCCUUCCGUCAGUUUCUAUUUGCCUCUCAACCAGAUUUAGUUGUGGUUUAGACAGCAGCUUUCUUAGGUUUUCCAAUGAUGACUCUGUCUUUUGUUCUAGCCCAUCUGAGGCCUGAUUCCUUUGUAAUCAUAGCCUCUACUCUAACAUCAAUGGCUCUACUCCCAACCUGUGUGUAUGGAUGGUCCUCUCCCCCACUUAAUGCUGUAUGAUUUCAGAAUUUCUCCACCUGCAAAAGAUGAGUGGCUUUUCUCCCCAUCUUGGUUGGGAUUAGCUUUGGACCAUGUCCAUCAAACAGUCCUCACAAGGGUCCAGAGACCCCCCAUAUUUCCAAUCCUCUCAUUACCUGGUUAAUGCCACUCAUAGGAUCAUUGGUUACUAUUCUCACCCUGACUUUUUUACUACUGUGUCUGUUUAAGUGUUUACAGCAGGUGAUAAUGGAAUGAACCAAGGCCUUCACCAACCAGACAGUCAAUCAAAUGCUGCUACAGGGAUAUACUCGGCUCCCCACCAGGAGACAGCGGCUUGAGACAUCGCCCCAUGACAGCAGAGAGUACUUCGUCACCCCAUGUCAGCAAGAACUAGCUCUAAAGACUGAUCAUUAUCCCUCUACCUCUCCUGGACUUUUGGGGUUAAUGUAAUCCCAUACAACUCCUGCUUUAUAAAAACACAAGGGAUGAAUGCCAGGAAAAUGGCGCAGUCUUAUCUACACCCCAGACACGACCCUAGGCUCUGACCCCUGCCACCAUUGCUGGAAGCCAGGAGACCACAUGGCCCAACCACCAGUGUCAGCUGCAUCCCCACCCUAAUAGGGUUUGCUGCUCCUACUUCCCUGCCCACCCCCUGGCAGUUUCAAGAGGACUGGUUCCUGGAUUCUGCUCUGGUUGCCCCUCUUCCAGUCCAGCUCUCUGCUGUGGUCCGGAAAGGCAGUGGAGGAUGGCCCAAGUACUUGGGCCCUGCACCUGCAUGGGAGACCAGGAGGAAGCACCUGGCUCCUGGCUUCGGAUUGGCGUGGCUCGCUCCCCAUCUCCCUCUUCUUCCUUCUUCGACCCUUCCCUCUGGUCUUUUGGGUUUCCCCCAGUAAACUCUUUCCCUUAAAAAAAAAAGUGUAAAUAUAGGCUAAUUUUGGUAAUCACAAAGGGUUGCCACGUUUGGCUCUCUCACCACCAGAAUAACUCAGAGCCUACGGCUCUUACCUCCUCCCAUGUAGCGCACACUGCCAAACUGAUGAGCAAAAAUCGUAGUUCUACUUUGCAUUUCUUAUUAAAACUGAAGCCAAUCUUUUCAAAUGUUUAAGGUCUGUAAUUAGUUUCCAGGGAACUCAUUGCCCAGUCCUUGUCUACUUCGCUAGUAGGUUGCUGUCAAUAAAUAUUUUAUGUUCGUAUUUGGAAAAAAUACUGUGAAAAAAGAUGCCAAAACUCCUGCAAUAAAACGAACACCCAAGCCUGCCCUCCAGGAGUCUGGAAUCCAAGGAAAGAUCUAAGAUUCUGACUUCACGCGCGUUCGGACGCCACAGCGCAUGCUCCGAAAAGCCUCGUCCGAACCUCGCGUCUGUAAGCGGCUCACUUGAUUUCUUCGGAAACAACUGCGUACGCAUGCGCCAAAGAGCUCGCGCCUCGGCGGAUUCCUCAUGGAAAUCUGCUGCGCAUGCUCGUUAGCCUGCGCUCCUAGGAGACGCCACAGAAGGUGGGUGCAGCUGCGCCCCCUGCUGUCGGAAAAUGUCCUGAAGCACUAGUUUUGAAAUGGAGGAAUUCUGGUGAAAAACAAGGCAUCUUCCUGAGGCCCUCAACUCACAAAAUCCACCGCAUUACGCCAGUGGGUAUUUAUCAGCUGGCCUUCAACAAAGGUGUCUAAAGCGAGCUUUUUAAAUUAAUGUUUGACAUUGAGUUGGAAGCUGAUUUUAAAGGACCUUCAGGCAGGAAAGCUGCCACCUGCAGCGCCUGCAUCCCAUAUAGGCUCCGGUUCUAGUCCUGGCUGCUCCUCUUCUGAUCCAGCUCUCUGCUGUGUCUGGGAAAGCAGUAGAAGAUGGCCCAAGUCCUUGGGCCCCUGCACGCAUGUGGGAGACCAGAAGAAGCUCCUGGCUCCUGGGAUAGGAUGCGCCCAGCUCUGGCUGUUACGGCCAUUUGGGGAGUGAACUAGCAUAUGGAGGACCUCUCUCUCUCUCUCUCUCUCUGCGCCUCUCCUUCUCUCUCUGUAACUCUUUCAAAUAAAUAAAUAAAUCUUAAAAAAACCCACACUGAAUUAGAUAAGAAAUUAAAAAAAAAAAAAGACCUUCAAGAGUGUCGACAGAUUAAUAGUUAGCUCUAUUUUUAAAAGCUCCAUGGGCCACACUUCAGAGAAAGCCAGACAGAAAAGCUUGAGAAAACCACCUGCCAUUCGCAAAGAGAAACAUGCCCUGACUUUCCCCAUUUGGUUGAUGCCAUAAAUAAUUAAAUCUUGGGACUGGCACUGUUGCACAGCCAGUUAAGCCACUGUCUGCAGUGCCGGCAACCCACAUGGGCGCCAGUUCGAAUCCUGGCUGCUCCACUUCCGAUCCAGCUCCCUGGAAAAUCAACAGAGGAUGGCCCAAGUGGGAGACCCAUGUGGAAGUCCUGGAAGAAGCUCCUGGCUUCCGCCUGGAGCAGCCCUGGCUGUUGGCGGCCAUUUGAGGAAUGAACCAGCCGAUGAAUGAUUCUCCCUCCCCCUCCCCUUCUGUAACUCUGCCUUUUAAAUAACUACAAUCUUAAGAGAAAAAAAAAAAGAAAUUUUACAGGGGAGGGCAUGGAGGCCCAGUGGGUUAUAUCCCAUAUCAGAGUACCUGGUGCAGUCCUGGCUACUCUGCUUCUGAUCCAGCUCCCUGUUAAUGUGUCUUGGAGGCAGCAGGUGCCACCUGCACAGGAGACCAGGAUGGAGUUCCUGGCUCCUGGUGUUGUCCUGGCCCAGCCCUGACUAUGGACAUUUGGGAAGUGAAUUAGCAGGUGGAAGAGAUUCAUUCAUAGUCAUUCUCUCUCUCUCUCCCUCCCUCUUUCCCCCACCACUUUUCAAAUAGAUGAAAGAAAACAUUUUUUUAAAGGCUUACAGAAACCCAUCACUGAAAAGGAUACAGUCAUGUUUCUGCACUGAAAAAAUGUUUUUCAUCUGAAAGCCUGAGGGAGAGGGAGAGCUACACAAAUGGAGAGAGAUCUCCCAUCUGCUGGUUCAUUCCCCAAAUACCUACAACCACUAGGCCCUGGGCCAGGCCAAAGUCAGGAGCCCAAACUCCACCUCACAGGUGACUGGCAGGGAUCCAGGUGCUUCAGUCAUCAAUUGAUUCCUUGAAGGGUUUAUUUCUGCAUUUUGUGAUUUUUUUUUUAAGAUUUAUUUAUCUGAAAGGCAGAGUUACAGAGAGGUCUUCCAUCCACUGGUUCCACUCCCCAGAUGGCUGCAAUAGAUGGAGCUGGGCCAAUCCAAAGUCAAGAGCCAGGAGCCAGAAGCUUCUUCCGGGUCUCCCAUGCAGGUGCAGGGGCCCAAGCACUUGGGCCAUCUUCCACUGCUUUCCCAGGCCAUUAGCAGAGAGCUGGAUCAAAAGUGGAGCAGGCCGGCACCGCUGCUCACUAGGCUAAUCCUCCGCCUGUGGCACUGGCACCCCAGGUUCUAGCCCUGGUCGGGGCGCCGGAUUCUGUCCCAGUUGUCCCUCUUCUAGGCCAGCUCUCUGCUGUGGCAUGGGAAGGCAGUGGAGGAUGGCCCAAGUCCUUGGGCCCUGCACCCGCAUGGGAGACCAGGAGAAGCACCUGGCUCCUGCCUUCGGAUUGGCAAGCAGGCCAUAGCAGCCAUUUGGGGGGUGAACCAACGGAAGCAAGACCUUU